rnacentral:rRNA from 1 species
GACGAACGCUGGCGGCGUGCUUAACACAUGCAAGUCGAACGGAAAGGCCCUGCUUGCAGGGUACUCGAGUGGCGAACGGGUGAGUAACACGUGGGUGAUCUGCCCUACACUUCGGGAUAAGCCUGGGAAACUGGGUCUAAUACCGGAUAGGAGCCAUUUUUAGUGUGAUGGUUGGAAAGUUUUUUCGGUGUAGGAUGAGCUCGCGGCCUAUCAGCUUGUUGGUGGGGUAAUGGCCUACCAAGGCGGCGACGGGUAGCCGGCCUGAGAGGGUGGACGGCCACGUUGGGGCUGGGGUACGGCCCAGACUCCGACGGGGGGGAGGAGGGGGGAAUAUUGCACAAUGGGCGCGAGCCUGAUGCAGCGAAGCCGCGGGGGGGAUGACGGCCUUCGGGUUGUAAACUCCUUUCGCUAGGGACGAAGCUUUUUGUGACGGUACCUAGAUAAGAAGCACCGGCUAACUACGUG